rnacentral:misc_RNA from 1 species
UCCGGUUUGGCACCGGCAGUCCUCCCAGAGUCCUCGGCAUGACCCGGUAGCAACUGGGAGCGGGGGUUGCGCUCGUUGCGGGACUUAACCCAACAUUUCACAACACGAGCUGACGACAGCCAUGCACCACCUGUGUAACACCCUCGAAGGCGACCGCUUUUCGGCGGCUUGCAGUUACAUGUCAAGCCCUGGUAAGGUUCUUCGCGUUGCAUCGAAUUAAGCCACAUGCUCCACCGCUUGUGCGGUCCCCCGCCAAUUCCUUUGAGUUUCAACCUUGCGGCCGUAGUCCCCAGGCGGUUCACUUAAUGCGUUAGCUGCGGCACCGGAGGUUACCCCCCGACGUCUAGCACGCAUCGUUUACGGCGUGGACUAC